GAGGGUAUAGCUCAGUGGUAGAGCUCAUACUUAGAAUGCAUAACAUCCUGGGUUCAAUGCCCAGUUCCUCCA
rfam:Camelus ferus unplaced genomic scaffold scaffold2630, whole genome shotgun sequence.